rnacentral:snRNA from 1 species
GUGCUUGCUUUGGCAGCAUGUAUACUAAAAUUGAAAUGAUACAGAGAAGAUUAGCAUGGCCCCUGAACAAGGAUGACAUGCAAAUUUGUGAAGCAUUCCAUAUUUUU